GGAAUUUUCCGCAAUGGGCGAAAGCCUGACGGAGCAACGCCGCGUGAGGGAUGAAGGCCUCUGGGCUGUAAACCUCUUUUAUCAAGGAAGAAGAUCUGACGGUACUUGAUGAAUAAGCCACGGCUAAUUCCGUGCCAGCAGCCGCGGUAAUACGGGAGUGGCAAGCGUUAUCCGGAAUUAUUGGGCGUAAAGCGUCCGCAGGCGGUCUUUUAAGUCUGUCGUCAAAGCGUGGAGCUUAACUCCAUUUCUGCGAUGGAAACUGGGAGACUAGAGUGUGGUAGGGGCAGAGGGAAUUCCCGGUGUAGCGGUGAAAUGCGUAGAUAUCGGGAAGAACACCAGUGGCGAAGGCGCUCUGCUGGGCCAUAACUGACGCUCAUGGACGAAAGCCAGGGGAGCGAAAGGGAUUAGAUACCCCUGUAGUCCUGGCCGUAAACGAUGAACACUAGGUGUCGGGGGGAUCGACCCCCUCGGUGUCGUAGCCAACGCGUUAAGUGUUCCGCCUGGGGAGUACGCACGCAAGUGUGAAACUCAAAUGAAUUGACGG
rnacentral:rRNA from 1 species